UCAGGAAGGUUGAGCGCAUGGAGGCAAGCAGUGAGAAAGUCCCAUCUGACUGAGUCAAAUCCCUUGGCUAUAUCAAUCUUUAAGGAGAGGGAAUCGAGGAAAGCUGAGCAGACUGUGCUGGAGAGAUAGAGAACCAGUCCGUGCGAAUCAAGUCAGCAACCUGUGAAAUCGAAACUGGUGAUGUUUUGUGAGUUGGAGGCCCAAGAAUGCUUUGGAAAUGAGAUACUGCGAUGUUGCCGAUGUCCUCUGGAGAAGUGGCUUCAAAACCAUUCAUACCGAUGAGGAUGGUGAUCGUAUUCUCUUUUUCUGCAGCAAAGUUGGGACAUGUUGGUUGUUGAAGAGAUAAAACCUGCGCAUGGGUAAACAAACU